CAGGUCUUCAUUGCACUGGAAGAGGAGGCUGUAGUGUGAGAUGAAAACCCGGAGGCGCUGCACGCACACCAGCAGCAGGUGCCAGUCAGCCACGGCAACCUCCAGGACACAGAACAAGUGGAUUGGCAGGAGAGUCCUAUCAUGGGCAGGCAUAACAGGAAGAGAUCCAGGCUUGCAUGUUGCCAUUACGUGCUGGGAAGCAGGAAGGAAGUUUACCUCCUUCAGGAUCACCACGUGAAUCAGAGAGAUGCAUUCUGGCAGAUCCCUCAGGGCAUACUCUCCAUGCUGGAUGCGUGACAGCUCCUGCAUUGCUUCUGUGAAACCCGCCUUCAGCUCAGAGGCUAAUGCCUGCAACUACAGCAACC